rnacentral:rRNA from 1 species
UUCUUGACCUCAAAUCAGGUAGGACUACCCGCUGAACUUAAGCAUAUCAAUAAAGCGGAAGGAAAAGAAACUAACAAGGAUUCCCCUAGUAACUGCGAGUGAAGCGGGAAAAGCUCAAAUUUAAAAUCUGGCGGUCUCUGGCCGUCCGAGUUGUAAUCUAGAGAAGUGAUGCCCGCACUGGACCGUGUACAAGUCUCCUGGAAUGGAGCGUCAUAGAGGGUGAGAAUCCCGUCUUUGACACGGACUACCAGGGCUUUGUGGUACGCUCUCAAAGAGUCGAGUUGUUUGGGAAUGCAGCUCUAAAUGGGUGGUAAAUUCCAUCUAAAGCUAAAUAUUGGCGAGAGACCGAUAGCGAACAAGUACCGUGAGGGAAAGAUGAAAAGAACUUUGGAAAGAGAGUUAAACAGUACGUGAAAUUGCUGAAAGGGAAACGCUUGAAGUCAGUCGCGUUGGCCGGGAAUCAGCCUCGCUUUUGCGUGGUGUACUUUCUGGUUGACGGGUCAGCAUCAAUUUUGACCGCUGGAAAAAGGCUUAGGGAAUGUGGCAGCUUCGGCUGUGUUAUAGCCCUUCGUCACAUACAACGGUUGGGAUUGAGGAACUCAGCACGCCGCAAGGCCGGGUUUCGACCACGUUCGUGCUUAGGAUGCUGGCAUAAUGGCUUUAAGCGACCCGUCUUGAAACACGGACCAAGGAGUCUAACAUGCCUGCGAGUGUUUGGGUGGAAAACCCGAGCGCGUAAUGAAAGUGAAAGUUGAGAUCCCUGUCGUGGGGAGCAUCGACGCCCGGACCUGAACUUUUGUGACGGAUCCGCGGUAGAGCAUGUAUGUUGGGA